UCUCUUUUUUUCCCUUUUCAAAAUCUGGCAGUGCCCCCUUUUAUAUCCAUUUCCCCCAAACGCCUGAUGAAACAGAGUGCAAGAGUGUCUGAGCCUCUCAUUUACAACCAUGACAGGGAGUCUAUGACCAGGGACUCCAGGUUAAUCCCCCCCACACACACACACACACAGGGGCAACCCUUGGUGCCCUAAGCAACCACACAUCUUUUAACUGGAUUCCCACAUGUGUUUUGGUGGGGGGGUAGGGGGUGCCCUCAAUCAAUGGCACCGUACGAUUCCCCCCAACUGCACCGAGGACUGUCCUAUCCAUGUCAUCCUGUGUCAUCAUCACCCACGAGAGUGCAUAGCCUAUGCUAAGUAAGUGUGCCGUGUGUACGUUUUUGUUUUCCUUUACCACAUGUUGGAUAUCGAUUGCCAUGCCACGUACUGUAGCAGUGAAGCACCGCGGAUGCCACCAAGGACAGACCCUGGCAACAAAUAUCCCUGCAAUUCCUUCCUUUGGAGAGAUUGAGGAAUAUUUCCCCCAGCACUUUUCCCCUAACCACUCGCACAUGUUUGAAGACAAAGAGACUCUGACAUGGUGUGGGGCUCUGAGGGGGCUGCUGCAGUGGCUGGUAUGCCAUGGGGAUAGAGGGACUGAGGCCUCUGAUUGAUCAAACAGAGGAGAGCGGAAGAAAAGAAAAGAAAUGAAGAGAAAGAUAAAGGGAGGGAGAAAAGCCUGUGUCUGUCCUUCGCCUGAAGCGACUCCCCCUCCACUCGCCUGGGUCAAAAAACUAGGUGCAUUGGGCUAUGUCCCAAUUUUGUUUUACGCAAAAAAAGAAAAAGCCUCUGGAAAAUGGGUGGCAGAUGUUAUGACCGAUCUGCCACCCACUGAAGACAAUCUGAAAAUUGUGGCCAGCAUGAAGAGGGCAUACAAUUUUGUUUUGCUUAAAGAAGGGAACCAGCCCCAGCCUCAGGUCCAGCCCCCUGCCUUAGCCCCAGCCUCAUCCUCAGGCCCAGCCCCUGUCUCAGGCCCAGCCCCAGCCUCAUCCUCAGGUCCAGCCCCUGUCUCAGGCC